GCACUCACUUCGGCCGCACGUUUAUUAAAAUUGGAACAAUACAAGAUUAGCAUGGCCCCUGCCAAGGAUGACACGCAAAUCUGUGAAGCGUUCAAUACAAAC
rnacentral:snRNA from 1 species